UACGAAGGGGGCUAGCGUUGUUCGGAAUUACUGGGCGUAAAGCGUGCGCAGGCGGCUUCUCAAGUCAGGGGUGAAAGCCCAGAGCUUAACUCUGGAAUUGCCUUUGAGACUGAGAGGCUUGAGCACGGGAGAGGUGAGUGGAAUUCCCAGUGUAGAGGUGAAAUUCGUAGAUAUUGGGAGGAACACCAGUGGCGAAGGCGGCUCACUGGACCGGAACUGACGCUGAGGCGCGAAAGCGUGGGGAGCAAACGGG
rnacentral:rRNA from 1 species